rnacentral:lncRNA from 1 species
UUGUCGCGCAUGGAAAUGGUGAGAUGCAAAGCCUGCUUCAGUAUCAAGCCACGACCUAAAAAUUAUUUUAUGCAACUCAACUAAAUCAUCAGGGAGCAGCGGAAAUGUUAUUUCACAUGCUCUUAAGUGGAAAGGGCCUUUAAGUAGGAUAGCAAGUUGGAACACAGCUGCCCGUUGAAGAUUUGCAAAGGCAAAAACUGAGCAAAGGAAUGGAAAUGCUUAAUGCUAAGGAGAACGCCAUCCUGCCAUCUCUCUAAAGUCAACACCACAUAGGCACUGGUCAAAUACAAGCUCCUGGAGUCAGCACAGGAACUACUGUGAGAAAUGCAAAAGUCUGAAACCUCUAGAUUCGCCAGAUGAUCUAAUUGCUGCGAGAAGGAGCAGUAUCGGAACAAUAUAGAAUAAUACUAAUGUAUACGGCAUCAUUCUAUUUUGGAUGGUAAGAACAGUAAUAGCUGAGCACGAAUAACAGGCAUGGAUUCAUCUGCUAUUUCAAGAGAGGUUUCUUUCCCUCCUUGUCUCCUGCUUCACUAGUUUAACAACAACAACAUCUCAUUUCAUACCUUAAGACAGCUCAGUAUUGCUAAGCUUGUUCCCUGCCAAAAUGGAAGGAACGUCAGGUAACAAAACCUAAAGGAUGACUAAUUUGUCUUCUAGCUGCACAAUAAUAAACACCAGAACUGAAGACUGUAAACCAUGCCAGUAUUUUGGGCCAAGGCUGGAGUGCUCAAGCAUCUAGCAAGCAGAACAAGAGGAAUGUCACUGUGUGACCAAGGAGAGCUCAACCUCUGCUCUCAAAUUUGGCCACUGUUAAUGGCCUGUAAAACUUCUAAGCUGCCUCAAUGAGAACAAGCAACGCCAAGAAGAACAGGCCCAGCAGGGAGGGCUAUUCAGGCCAUAGCAGUUCUUGCCCUUAUUGGAACAGAACGGGUGCGGCUACAUGCAACCCACAGCGAACAGAACAUGUGAUGCAGAUAUGCCAUCUACAUAGCUGCCUGGAGAUCAUACAAAGCUGCAGAAGGAUACCCACUGUCCAUAAAAAGUUGCAUACCUUAAGUUAGAUGAUAGAAGCUACAACACUAAGCAUUGUUACAAAAUAUAGAGAGAGAGACUAAGAACAAUAAAAACAGGUUUGCAAUUGUGAUAUUUUUAUUGUUGUUUUAUGAGAGGUAGCAGAAAGGACGACCUGCACUUUUCAAAUCAUUGUAGCAAAGUACACAAUAUUAAUUUUCAAGGAAACCAACAUUCAUAUCAACGCUAAAGGAAAUUUUAGUAUCUGUGCAACAUGCAUGCACGUCAGACUCAGAAAGGAAGGCUUGGAUAAGGAAGACAUUUGGGCAUUUAGCUCAAUCUUCAAACAUAAACUUGGUGAUUCUUCCUCUGCUGCUCCCGUCUGUCAGCAUUAAUCCACAGCCACAUCAGAGGGAGACAAGAGGCCAAAGCAAUGCCUAGUUGAGAGAUGUCUGGCUGAAACACAGAGCAGUCUGUGAGUCUAAUCCAGGCUUUAUAUUCAAAAGGAGAAGAAAGCAGAUACAGUAACUAAGAUUAUGGUUUUCCAGUUAUUUCUUCUGAAUAACUGCUCUCAGAACGGAGCUGCUCAGAGUUGCAUUUAGUAUGGACUUCAUAAAUAACUCUUCAUUAGUACCACUUAGUAGUAAAGUGGUGGUAGCCACCAUUAUUUGAAGCUCUAUGAAAUACGCAGAUUGAUCUUUCCAGUUUUAAGAUCAAAUUACUUCCCAUCGUUCCAAUUUCAUCCUUAUUUCAAAUCACUUGGUUAAUAGCAGGCAAGGGGUUUCAGCUUCAUAAAUACAAUAAGGGAGCUAAAGAAUCUCUCUCUGAUGAGUACUUCAUGACAAUGCUUCCUUGACUUUUCAUUUUCAGCAGUUAUCACGAGUAGUUCUGCAAAAUCUUUCUAAUGGAGGACAGGCUGGAGUUUGAGGAGCAGAAAGCAAGGACGUGGGUUGGCUUUUUACAGGAAUAUAUUGGAAGGGUUAGGAAGCAUAGGGUUGUGAAAAUUUGGCAGAUGAUACCCUUAUGCAUGCUACAGCCAGCCAUUAUGUGUCACAUGACAGGAAAUUCCUAACGGUAACAUAAAACACCUUCACUAAGGAAAAAAUGAAAUGAUGCUUUAACAAAAUUUCAUGCCCAUGACACAGGCCGAGGUAGGCUGGGUGACCUGCCAGCCUGAAGACACUCCAUAUGUUAUGAUCAUGAGCUCAGGAAAAAAAAAAAAAAGCUUGUGUUUCUUUUUUAGACCAUGACGAUCCAUUUUAUUUAUUGAGCUGAAUCUCAUCACACCUUGCAGCAAAAUUAAGAAUCACAUAGUAAAUACCUGGAGCUUGCUAAAAUUAUUAAAAUAACUAUCUCAGACAGUAUGCCCUGGCCUUGAUCCUUCCAAUCACUGAAAUGCUCAUUUAAUUAAAAGCCAUCUGAAGUUAGAAAGAACAUUAAAAACAAAAACAACAACAACAAAGAAACACCUGUCAGAGAAGCCCCCACAAGAUUUCAGACAAUGAAAUAUCUUAGUGAAUAAUGUAUGAGAAAAUUUGUUGCAUUUAACGUUUAUUUGGUAUAAUAGUAGGUCUGAGCUUACCAUCUCUGAUUAAUUUAACUCCUUAAGUCUGACUGAUCACCGCUGUAUCUCUUGGCGCUGGUUAAGGACAUCUCCACUAAGUAGAGCAUUUGCUGACAUUGUCCCCAGUGAGCAAUGGUCAUUACUGCUCACACACAUUAAGCCAGAGCUGCUCCCUAGCAGAUGUUCUAGUAAAAGAGCCAUCCCAAUUUGUUACAUUUCCCAUUAAAAGAAUAAAUAAUGUAUUUUCUACCAAAAUGAUAUUAAAAUGCUGGGAGAUUCAUAAAAGUCCUCCAGUCUCAUUCAGAGGAAGGGGAGAAAGGCACUUUGCAAUAUAUUGGCAAGACUUUUUGCUACCAACACAUCAGUGUCACAGAUGAAUCAUGAUAUUCCAAAAACAUCAGCCUUCAUAACAACAAAAGUAACCACAAUUUCAAUAAAUUGGAAGGACACAUCAAGGUCUAUAAAGCAAGAGGAUGAAAGGAGUUAUUAGCCUGCUACUUGUUCCCUGUCCCUUCCCUGCUAUUAGCUGUUUGCCUUCCAAGAAGCUCAGUGAAGCAACAUGUCUCUAAUAGCAUCACUGUGAACUCAGCUUUAAAGACAAAACUCUAACACAUUACGUGCAUAAAUCAAACACAUGAGUGGCAAUAUUUGUGGUGGACUGAGCAGCAGACACACACAGCUGAGCACAUCAGUAGACACCAACAACACGUUUACCACAUAGCCCUGCAGCUGAAGCUUCAGCGGCUCAGCACUGCAAGGAGCAAUGCUCCCUGGUGCACUGGGAGCGAGGGGACAUACGAGCAGCCAGCGAGAAGCAGCAAUUCUGGAACCCAGAGCACCCUGCCUGGAUCAGAUGCCGCAGGAAAACAGUGAUUUUGGGGUACGCUCCACUGUAUGAAACAUAGAACGUUUGUUUUCUGAAAAAAGCAUCGCUGCAUUGGGCACUUGGAAGCAAUAAUCAGGUUCUGAAAGUUUACAAGAGACCGUGCAUUUUUAGUCUGAUCUUCCCAUUAGGAUUAAUUGUAAGCAGCGUAAGCAGAGUCAUAAAGAAGCCCCAGAGGAAAAAAAAAUAUCUUCCCUAUAAUUAAUUGUGCCAUUUGACUAAUAAAACAACUUAUACUUCCAUUAACCAAGCUGCAUGCAAAGAGACUUGAUUUUCAGAUCCACUUGACAUAAACAUAGCUUAUCUUAAUUAAUCCUUCUGCAGGCUUUGUUUUCUGGAACGCAUUCACCUCAAAUAAAGCAACUUUUAUCAACACCUAAGCAGUAUUUUUAUCUUUAUAGCCUCAGGUAGAUGCCGGAGCUAAGCUGGGAUCCAGCAAUGUCUUCGC